rnacentral:tRNA from 1 species
GGAGGAUUGACCGAGCCCGGUAAGGCAUCCGUCUCGAAAACGGUGGUCGGCGCGGGCGCCGCGCAGGUUCGAAUCCUGCAUCCUCGG